rnacentral:rRNA from 1 species
UACGGAGGGGGCUAGCGUUGUUCGGAAUUACUGGGCGUAAAGCGCGCGUAGGCGGCUUUGUAAGUUAGAGGUGAAAGCCCCGGAGCUCAACUCCGGAACUGCCUUUAAGACUGCAUCGCUAGAAUUGUGGAGAGGUGAGUGGAAUUCCGAGUGUAGAGGUGAAAUUCGUAGAUAUUCGGAAGAACACCAGUGGCGAAGGCGACUCACUGGACACAUAUUGACGCUGAGGUGCGAAAGCGUGGGGAGCAAACAGG